rnacentral:rRNA from 1 species
AGCAGCCGCGGUAAUUCCAGCUCCAAUAGCGUAUAUUAAAGUUGUUACAGUUAAAAAGCUCGUAGUUGAAUUUCGGGGUCGGUAGGUUGGUCAUGCCUCUGGUAUGCACUGGUCUCACUGAUUCCUCCUUCCUGAUGAGCCGUAAUGCCAUUAAUUUGGUGUUGCGAGGAAUCUGGACUGUUACUUUGAAAAAAUUGAGUGUUUAAAGCAAGCUGACGCUUGAAUACAUUAGCAUGGAAUAAUGGAAUAGGACGUUCGAUCCUAUUUUGUUGGUUUCUAGGAUUGACGUAAUGAUUAAUAGGGAUAGUUGGGGGCAUUAGUAUUCAAUUGUCAGAGGUGAAAUUCUUGGAUUUAUUGAAGACUAACUACUGCGAAAGCAUUUGCCAAGGAUGUUUUCAUUAAUCAAGAACGAAAGUUAGGGGAUCGAAGACGAUCAGAUACCGUCGUAGUCUUAACCAUAAACUAUGCCGACUAGGGAUCGGAUGAUGUUAAUUUUUAUGUACUCAUUC